rnacentral:rRNA from 1 species
CGUCUAUAUACGUAUAGCAUAUCAAUAAGCGGAGGAAAAGAAACUAACUAGGAUUCCCUCAGUAACGGCGAGUGAAGCGGGAAGAGCUCAAAUUUGAAAUCUUCAAGGUUUUACCUUGACGAAUUGUAGUUUAAAGAAGUGUUUUCUGUUGAAGUUCGGUAAAAGUUCUUUGGAAUAGGACAUCAUAGAGGGUGAGAAUCCCGUAUUUGACCAUUAUUUCCAGCUUUGUGAUACACUUUCAGAGAGUCGGAUUGUUUGGGAAUGCAGUCCAAAAUGGGUGGUAAAUUUCAUCUAAAGCUAAAUAUUGGCGAGAGACCGAUAGCGAACAAGUACCGUGAGGGAAAGAUGAAAAGAACUUUGAAAAGAGAGUUAAACAGUACGUGAAAUUGUCAAAAGGGAAGCGUUUGACACCAGUGUUGUUUUCUCGAAAAUCAAUUAAAAAUGGCCUGAUUUUGUGUUGUAAGGGACUUUAUCAGCGUUUCUGCACUCUUUUCUUGUCCUUUUUAAUGCACUUUUCGUUUAACAAGUCAACAUCAAUUUAAUCUUUUGUUGUAAAAGGGUCAUUGGAAGGUGGCUUUCUUUUCGGAGAAAGUGUUUAUAGCCUUUGGCCUCUGCAAUCGGAGAGAUUGAGGUCUGCAGCGUAGAUCCUUCGGGGUUAGAUACAUUUGUGCUAAGUUAUAGCCUUUCAUAGACAACUUGUUGACUAUGAUCAGUCAUGUAGCUUACUCGCUUAUGCUAUUUUACCUACGCUUAGGAUGUUGAAGUCAUCGUAUCGCGC